CUAACUUGUAAGGUAAUAGAUUUGAUCUAUUAUAUUUUACAUACAUUAGAUGUAGUAUAGAAACAUGUUGACAUGAUCAACAAGUAGUUCUUGCUCUUUAUAUUUUAAUUUUUGAUUUAAUACCAUGUAAUAAUCAUGUAAUAGGAUCUUAGAUCUAGAGAUUCUCUAAUUUUAUAAGAUAAAUUUUAAUUUAUUUUAAUCUUUCGUUGCCUAAUCUUGAAAAGUUUCAAGAUCUAACCCUAAAAUCCUAGAUCUGGUUCCUUCAAGUUAUUCUCUAAUAACCACCUCCACUAUCACCCCAAUAUCUCUACACCA
rnacentral:lncRNA from 1 species